UACAGAGGUCUCAAGCGUUGUUCGGAUUCAUUGGGCGUAAAGGGUGCGUAGGCGGCGCGGUAAGUCGGGUGUGAAAUCUCGGAGCUUAACUCCGAAACUGCAUUCGAUACUGCCGUGCUUGAGGACUGGAGAGGAGACUGGAAUUUACGGUGUAGUGGUGAAAUGCGUAGAUAUCGGGAGGAACACCAGUGGCGAAGGCGACUACCUGGCCCAUUCUUGACGCUGAGGCGCGAAAGCUAGGGGAGCGAACGGG
rnacentral:rRNA from 1 species